rnacentral:rRNA from 1 species
GAGCACUGUUUGGACGAGGGGCCCUUCUCGGGUUACCGAAUUCAGACAAACUCCGAAUGCCAAUCAAUUUAACUUGGGAGUCAGAACAUGGGUGAUAAGGUCCGUGUUCGAAAGGGAAACAGCCCAGACCACCAGCUAAGGUCCCAAAAUAUAUGUUAAGUGGAAAAGGAUGUGGCGUUGCCCAGACAACUAGGAUGUUGGCUUAGAAGCAGCCAUCAUUUAAAGAGUGCGUAAUAGCUCACUAGUCGAGUGACACUGCGCCGAAAAUGUACCGGGGCUAAACAUAUUACCGAAGCUGUGGAUUGUCCGUAGGACAAUGGUAGGAGAGCGUUCUAAGGGCGUCGAAGCAUGAUCGCAAGGACAUGUGGAGCGCUUAGAAGUGAGAAUGCCGGUGUGAGUAGCGAAAGACGGGUGAGAAUCCCGUCCACCGAUUGACUAAGGUUUCCAGAGGAAGGCUCGUCCGCUCUGGGUUAGUCGGGUCCUAAGCUGAGGCCGACAGGCGUAGGCGAUGGAUAACAGGUUGAUAUUCCUGUACCACCUAGUAUCGUUUUAAUCGAUGGGGGGACGCAGUAGGAUAGGCGAAGCGUGCUAUUGGAUUGCACGUCCAAGCAGUAAGACUGAGUGUUAGGCAAAUCCGGCACUCAUAAGGUCAAGCUGUGAUGGGGAGAGGAAAUUGUUUCCUCGAGUCGUUGAUUUCACACUGCCAAGAAAAGCCUCUAGAUAGAUAACAGGUGCCCGUACCGCAAACCGACACAGGUAGUCAAGAUGAGAAUUCUAAGGUGAGCGAGCGAACUCUCGUUAAGGAACUCGGCAAAAUGACCCCGUAACUUCGGGAGAAGGGGUGCUCUUUAGGGUUAACGCCCAGAAGAGCCGCAGUGAAUAGGCCCAAGCGACUGUUUAUCAAAAACACAGGUCUCUGCUAAACCGUAAGGUGAUGUAUAGGGGCUGACGCCUGCCCGGUGCUGGAAGGUUAAGAGGAGUAGUUAGCUUCUGCGAAGCUACGAAUCGAAGCCCCAGUAAACGGCGGCCGUAACUAUAACGGUCCUAAGGUAGCGAAAUUCCUUGUCGGGUAAGUUCCGACCCGCACGAAAGGCGUAACGAUUUGGGCACUGUCUCAACGAGAGACUCGGUGAAAUCAUAGUACCUGUGAAGAUGCAGGUUACCCGCGACAGGACGGAAAGACCCCGUGGAGCUUUACUGUAGCCUGAUAUUGAAAUUCGGCACAGCUUGUACAGGAUAGGUAGGAGCCUUUGAAACGUGAGCGCUAGCUUACGUGGAGGCAUUGGUGGGAUACUACCCUAGCUGUGUUGGCUUUCUAACCCGCACCACUUAUCGUGGUGGGAGACAGUGUCAGGUGGGCAGUUUGACUGGGGCGGUCGCCUCCUAAAAGGUAACGGAGGCGCUCAAAGGUUCCCUCAGAAUGGUUGGAAAUCAUUCAUAGAGUGUAAAGGCAUAAGGGAGCUUGACUGCGAGACUUACAAGUCGAGCAGGGUCGAAAGACGGACUUAGUGAUCCGGUGGUUCCGCAUGGAAGGGCCAUCGCUCAACGGAUAAAAGCUACCCCGGGGAUAACAGGCUUAUCUCCCCCAAGAGUUCACAUCGACGGGGAGGUUUGGCACCUCGAUGUCGGCUCAUCGCAUCCUGGGGCUGUAGUCGGUCCCAAGGGUUGGGCUGUUCGCCCAUUAAAGCGGUACGCGAGCUGGGUUCAGAACGUCGUGAGACAGUUCGGUCCCUAUCCGUCGUGGGCGUAGGAAAUUUGAGAGGAGCUGUCCUUAGUACGAGAGGACCGGGAUGGACAUACCUCUGGUGUACCAGUUGUCGUGCCAACGGCAUAGCUGGGUAGCUAUGUAUGGACGGGAUAAGUGCUGAAAGCAUCUAAGCAUGAAGCCCCCCUCAAGAUGAGAUUUCCCAACUUCGGUUAUAAGAUCCCUCAAAGAUGAUGAGGUUAAUAGGUUCGAGGUGGAAGCGUGGUGACACGUGGAGCUGACGAAUACUAAUCGAUCGAAGACUUAAUCAA